UAUAAAAUGCUAUGAUAUAAAUAGAAAGCCAAUUUAGGUCUCUUUUGAGAUUAUUACUUGUCACACCGUAUGAUAUCGUGAUAAAAUCUUGACCAAAUUCUAUAACUUUUUUUUUUUUUUAUAAAGAGAUGGACCUCGCUGCAGAAACAAAGAUCAAGAGAGUGCAGCUGGAUCUGAUCUAACUCCUCCUAUAACCCCAAACCCGCUCAAAAACAUGGAACAACAGACUUAACACAGAAGUAAUGGAAGACUUGAGGAAACUUUUGUCUUGAUGUGGGAAAACGUGCCAUGACUUUGUUAUUGACAAGCCAACCACCAGGAAAGUCAGGGCUCAGAGAUUUCCGCUCAUCUCAUAAUUACGAUCAUUCCUGCACGACUUGAACAUAGCAACAGUCCAGGACAGUAGAAGGAGCUGGAUCCGUUCUGACUCCACCAUCCCAUGGACUUAUGGUUCUGCAGCCUGGGGUACUUGGGGAACUUUCCCCCUUGGGGUCUGCACAUGUCUAUCACUCAGCGGAAAGG